GAAGGCUCUGUUGCCCAGGCUGGAGUGCAGUGGCACCAUCACAGCUUGACCUCCCUGGCUCAAGCUGACUGGGGAUUUUAAUCAUUUGGAGCCACACUGAAAAAAAAAUUUCCCCCUGCAAUCUACUCUUAACUGAUAGUUGCUAACUUUGGUUAUGUGUGUCUAUUCAGAAUAUUACAUUAAUUGAUUUCUCAAACAAAGGUCCUUUCUGAAAUGGUAUCUAUGAUUCAGCUAUUCAAAACCUAAUGAAGUUGGUGACUCUAUGACAAUGUGGAGAAAUCAUGACAGAAAAUGUGGUUUGUACUGGGGCUGUCAAUGCUGUAAAGGAAGUUUGGGAAAAAAGAAUAAAAAAACUCAAUGAAGACCUGAAGCGAGAGAAGGAAUUUCAACACAAGCUAGUGCGGAUCUGGGAAGAACGAGUAAGCUUAACCAAGCUAAGAGAAAAGGUCACCAGGGAAGAUGGAAGAGUCAUUUUGAAGAUAGAAAAAGAGGAAUGGAAGACCCUCCCUUCUUCUCUGCUGAAACUGAAUCAACUACAGGAAUGGCAACUUCAUAGAACUGGUUUGCUGAAAAUUCCUGAAUUCAUUGGAAGAUUCCAGAACCUCAUUGUGUUAGAUUUAUCUCGAAACACAAUUUCAGAGAUACCACCAGGGAUUGGACUGCUUACUAGACUUCAGGAACUGAUUCUCAGCUACAACAAAAUCAAGACUGUCCCCAAGGAACUAAGUAAUUGUGCCAGCUUGGAGAAACUAGAACUGGCUGUUAACAGAGAUAUAUGUGAUCUUCCACAAGAGCUCAGCAAUCUGCUAAAACUUACUCACCUUGAUCUGAGUAUGAACCAUUUUACUACAAUCCCUCUUGCUGUGUUGAACAUGCCUGCCCUUGAGUGGCUGGACAUGGGAAGCAACAAACUUGAACAACUUCCUGAUACUAUAGAAAGAAUGCAAAAUCUACAUACGUUAUGGCUGCAACGAAAUGAAAUAACAUGCUUGCCUCAAACAAUCAGCAAUAUGAAAAAUCUGGGUACUCUUGUUCUCAGCAACAAUAAACUGCAAGAUAUUCCAGUAUGCAUGGAAGAAAUGGCAAAUCUGAGGUUUGUCAACUUCAGAGACAACCCACUGAAAUUGGAAGUAUCACUUCCUCCCAGUGAAGGCACAGAUGAAGAAGAGGAACGGGAAUUAUUUGGCCUUCAGUUUAUGCACACAUACAUACAAGAGUCACGGAGAAGAGCAGAAGAGAACAUACUUGUUUGUGCCUACAUAUAUAAAAAAUGACCUGAUAAAAGAUAUGAGAUAGCUAAUCAACUUCAGAAGUUAUUUCAAAUUUGUGAAUUAUGUUUAUCACCAAGUCAACGGUUCAACUACUUUACCAAUCUCCAUAAAUACGGAUGGAUAAUAUAAUUCAAGAUGCCCUUCUAAAGAGGAUUACUUUGGUGAAUUCUCUAAUGUUUGGAUUUCUGAAGUAAAAAGAAAAGCUAUUACCAAAGUUUAAUGAGGCCACAGCAUUUUUUAAAGUUCAUAUUAUUUGCUAUUUAAAGUAUAUAUUUUUUGAUAUAAAAAUAUAAUUAAAAAAAUUUUUUUGGUGGAA